CCUACGGGCGGCAGCAGUGGGGGAUAUUGCACAAUGGGGGAAACCCUGAUGCAGCAACGCCGCGUGUGGGAAGAAGGUUUUCGGAUUGUAAACCACUGUUCUUGGUGAAGUUAAUGACGGUAACCAAGGAGAAAGCAUCGGCUAACUCCGUGCCAGCAGCCGCGGUAAUACGGAGGAUGCGAGCGUUAUCCGGAUUUAUUGGGUUUAAAGGGUGCGUAGGCGGAACAUUGAGUCAGCGGUAAAAUCGAGGGGCUCAACCCCUUUAAGCCGUUGAAACUGGUGAUCUUGAGUGGGCGAGAAGUAUGCGGAAUGCGUGGUGUAGCGGUGAAAUGCAUAGAUAUCACGCAGAACUCCGAUUGCGAAGGCAGCAUACCGGCGCCCGACUGACGCUGAGGCACGAAAGCGUGGGGAUCGAACAGGAUUAGAUACCCGUGUAGUC
rnacentral:rRNA from 1 species